AAACUUCGGUCGAUUUAAUUUAAUUCUAGUGGCGGACGGGUGAGUAACGCGUGGGUAACCUGCCUUAUACAGGGGGAUAACAGUCAGAAAUGGCUGCUAAUACCGCAUAAGCGCACAGAGCUGCAUGGCUCAGUGUGAAAAACUCCGGUGGUAUAAGAUGGACCCGCGUUGGAUUAGCUAGUUGGUGGGGUAACGGCCCACCAAGGCGACGAUCCAUAGCCGGCCUGAGAGGGUGAACGGCCACAUUGGGACUGAGACACGGCCCAGACUCCUACGGGAGGCAGCAGUGGGGAAUAUUGCACAAUGGGGGAAACCCUGAUGCAGCGACGCCGCGUGAAGGAAGAAGUAUCUCGGUAUGUAAACUUCUAUCAGCAGGGAAGAUAGUGGCGGUACCUGACUAAGAAGCCCCGGCUAACUACGUGCCAGCAGCCGCGGUAAUACGUAGGGGGCAAGCGUUAUCCGGAUUUACUGGGUGUAAAGGGAGCGUAGACGGUGUGGCAAGUCUGAUGUGAAAGGCAUGGGCUCAACCUGUGGACUGCAUUGGAAACUGUCAUACUUGAGUGCCGGAGGGGUAAGCGGAAUUCCUAGUGUAGCGGUGAAAUGCGUAGAUAUUAGGAGGAACACCAGUGGCGAAGGCGGCUUACUGGACGGU
rnacentral:rRNA from 1 species